rnacentral:rRNA from 1 species
UUAAAUUGAAGAGUUUGAUCAUGGCUCAGAUUGAACGCUGGCGGCAGGCCUAACACAUGCAAGUCGGACGGUAGCACAGAGGAGCUUGCUCCUCGGGUGACGAGUGGCG